UUGCGUCGGGACUUCGUCGCUGCCCUAAUGGGGAGAGGAAAGUCCGGGCAACAUAGAGCACCGUGCUUCCUAACGGGAAGAUAUUCGUGAGGGUAUGGUUAAAGGUAACAGAGAAUAACCGCCUCCUUGUGAGGUAAGGGUGAAAAGGCGGGGUAAGAGCCCACCGUUCGCGUGGCGACACUGCGGAGACAGUACCACCUGCGGGUUGCAAGACCAUGUAUAUCGGCGCCUGAGGGCUGCUCGUCCGAUGCCGAGGGGUAGGUUGCUAAUUUUUAGUUGACGGGAGACCGGCAACAUAGAUAAAUGACGAAGACUUCUUACGAAGGACAGAACCCGGCUUAUACCUGACGCAAUUUU
rnacentral:RNase_P_RNA from 1 species